rnacentral:rRNA from 1 species
UGGGGAAUUUUGGACAAUGGGCGAAAGCCUGAUCCAGCAAUGCCGCGUGUGUGAAGAAGGCCUUCGGGUUGUAAAGCACUUUUGUCCGGAAAGAAAUCCUUGGCUCUAAUACAGUCGGGGGAUGACGGUACCGGAAGAAUAAGCACCGGCUAACUACGUGCCAGCAGCCGCGGUAAUACGUAGGGUGCAAGCGUUAAUCGGAAUUACUGGGCGUAAAGCGUGCGCAGGCGGUUUGCUAAGACCGAUGUGAAAUCCCCGGGCUCAACCUGGGAACUGCAUUGGUGACUGGCAGGCUAGAGUAUGGCAGAGGGGGGUAGAAUUCCACGUGUAGCAGUGAAAUGCGUAGAGAUGUGGAGGAAUACCGAUGGCGAAGGCAGCCCCUGGGCCAAUACUGACGCUCAUGCACGAAAGCGUGGGGAGCAAAACAGGAUUAGAUACCCCUGGUAGUCCACGCCCUAAAACGAUGUCAACUAGUUGUUGGGGAUUCAUUUCCUUAGUAACGUAGCUAACGCGUGAAGUUGACCGCCUGGGGAGUACGGUCGCAAGAUUAAAACUCAAAUGAAUUGACGGGGUCAUAGCUGUUUCCU